rnacentral:rRNA from 1 species
CUUGGUCAUUUAGAGGAGUAAAAGUCGUAACAAGGUCUCCGUAGGUGAACCUGCGGAGGGAUCAUACAGAGCAUCAUGCCCUUCGGGGUAGAUCUCCCACCCUGUGUAUUACAUCCCUUUGUUGCUUUGGCGGGCCGCCCUCGGCCACCGGCUCCGGCUGGUGGUGCCCGCCAGAGGACCCCAAACUCUGAAUGUUAGUGUCGUCUGAGUACAUAUAAUAGUUAAAACUUUCAACAACGGAUCUCUUGGUUCUGGCAUCGAGAAGAACGCAGCGAAAUGCGAUAAGUAAUGUGAAUUGCAGAAUUCAGUGAUCAUCGAAUCUUUGAACGCACAUUGCGCCCUCUGGUAUUCCGGAGGGCUGCCUGUUCGAGCGUCAUUACAACCCUCAAGCUCUGCUUGGCCUUGGGCUCACCGGCAACGGUGGGCCUCAAACUCAGUGGCGGUGCCAUCUGGCUCUAGCGUAGUAAUUCUUCUCGCUAUGGGUGCCCGGUGGAUGCUUGCCAGCACCCCCAACUUCUUAAGGUUGACCUCGGAUCAGGUAGGGAUACCCGCUGACUUAAGCAUAUCAAUAAGCGGAGGAA